rnacentral:rRNA from 1 species
GACGAACGCUGGCGGCGUGCUUAACACAUGCAAGUCGAACGGAAAGGCCCUGCUUUUGUGGGGUGCUCGAGUGGCGAACGGGUGAGUAACACGUGAGUAACCUGCCCUUGACUUUGGGAUAACUUCAGGAAACUGGGGCUAAUACCGGAUAGGAGCUCCUGCUGCAUGGUGGGGGUUGGAAAGUUUCGGCGGUUGGGGAUGGACUCGCGGCUUAUCAGCUUGUUGGUGGGGUAGUGGCUUACCAAGGCUUUGACGGGUAGCCGGCCUGAGAGGGAGACCGGCCACAUUGGGACUGGGAUACGGCCCGGACUCCUACGGGAGGCAGCAGUGGGGAAUAUUGCACAAUGGGCGGAGGCCUGAUGCAGCAACGCCGCGUGCGGGAUGACGGCCUUCGGGGUGUAAACCGCUUUCGCCUGUGACGAAGCGUGAGUGACGGUAAUGGGUAAAGAAGCACCGGCUAACUACGU